CAGCAGCCGCGGUAAAACGGAGGGUGCAAGCGUUAUCCGGAUUUAUUGGGUUUAAAGGGUCCGUAGGCGGAUCUGUAAGUCAGUGGUGAAAUCUCACAGCUUAACUGUGAAACUGCCAUUGAUACUGCAGGUCUUGAGUAAAUUUGAAGUGGCUGGAAUAAGUAGUGUAGCGGUGAAAUGCAUAGAUAUUACUUAGAACACCAAUUGCGAAGGCAGGUCACUAAGAUUUAACUGACGCUGAUGGACGAAAGCGUGGGGAGCGAACAGGAUUAGAUACCCGUGUAGUCCCUGUCUCUUAUAC
rnacentral:rRNA from 1 species